CCUGGGAUCCCCCACAGCCCAUACAGCCCCGGGAAUCCCCGCUGCUCCACAGGCUCCGCCCCGGGAGCGGGAGGUGCCCCUUGCACGGGUGCCGCUUGCGCGGCCGGCUCCCGGGAAUGUUCGGACGUGCCUCCCGUGGAACGCCCCAGGGGUGGCUCUCAGCGCAGCUGGCUCGGAGAGCGCUGUACAAAGUAGCCCGAGCGCCUUUCCUCUGACUGCCCGGCCAAGUAGCAAGUGGGAAGCGCCUGAGGAGAAACCACCUUUCCAGCUGCUAUGGAUGGAUUCUCCCCUGCUCUAUGAUCAGGCAAGCCAUGUCUUCUCAUCAAGAUCAGGACCUUGAUUCUUGACAGAGCUAGCAUUUUCCAAGGAAGAUAUUAGAGUUUCAAUUAGGACGAAAUUUAAUGGGAGCCUAAGAUGUUGCAUAAACCACAAAUGUCUGAACCACGGAGAAAAAUAAUCAGUGUUCAGAAUAUAUGAAGGUAAGUGCUGUUGGGGACAUUUUCAGAGAGUAUUUAUCAAAACCUUAUGCACAUACAUGCCCAGUUCUGAUGCCUACUGAACAUGUUCUG